rnacentral:rRNA from 1 species
GAUGAACGCUGGCGGCGUGCCUAAUACAUGCAAGUCGAGCGAACAGACGAGGAGCUUGCUCCUCUGACGUUAGCGGUGGACGGGUGAGUAACACGUGGAUAACCUACCUAUAAGACUGGGAUAACUUCGGGAAACCGGAGCUAAUACCGGAUAAUAUAUUGAACCGCAUGGUUCAAUAGUGAAAGACGGUUUUGCUGUCACUUAUAGAUUGAUCCGCGCCGCAUUAGCUAGUUGGUAAGGUAACGGCUUACCAAGGCAACGAUGCGUAGCCGACCUGAGAGGGUGAUCGGCCACACUGGAACUGAGACACGGUCCAGACUCCUACGGGAGGCAGCAGUAGGGAAUCUUCCGCAAUGGGCGAAAGCCUGACGGAGCAACGCCGCGUGAGUGAUGAAGGUCUUCGGAUCGUAAAACUCUGUUAUUAGGGAAGAACAAAUGUGUAAGUAACUAUGCACGUCUUGACGGUACCUAAUCAGAAAGCCACGGCUAACUACGUG